CUCCCCUAUCGUUCUAGGCAUGCUCAGCAGAAGGGCUGUGCUGUGCUCUCAGCGACUGAAGCUGGGCGCAGGGGAACUGCAACCGCCGCGCCGAACACCUUCCAGGGAUGGCCUCUGCUGAGCCGUUGUGCUCCAGUUUCUACCACCAGCACUGCGCUUAAGGAACAAAAUAAACACCUUCGCCCUCCUGCUGCCAAGACAGAUACACACCACCAUGUACAGCGUGGAGGACCUCCUCAUUUCUCACGGAUACAAACUGCCCAAGACAAGCAUCCCCUGCCCCUCUUCAACUUCAUCCGCCACCGCGCCUUACGAGAAGCAGCGCCACGCCGCCGCCGAUUGCCACCGUGAAAUCCCAGCAGCAGAGAACCAGAGAUCUGGUCGUGGUGGACCACUGAACGGGAAUGAACAGGCGGGAGACAGAGGGGCCUGCGUCUUCAGCAGCAGCAGGCAGGCACUACUGGCGAAGGGCUACCCCGGCAGCUGCGACAAUGAGAGCGGCGGGGAAAGGAACCAAUGGAGAAAAGAAGCUGUCAGCGGUAACCUAGGUGACAGCCUCGCACAGCCCCUGGGCGAUUCUCUCGCCACGGAUAGCGGGUUCUAUGACGCGCCCAGCUUAACCUAUUCUGAGCAGGUCGAGAGAAGAGAGCAGUUGGAUGAGAGGGAUGUCUCCUACUGGAAGAGGAGAGGCCAGGACUUCAGUGUCCUCCUGGAUUAUGCCGACGGCCGGGAGCUGAGAGCAUCCGCUGGCUUUCUGAAGGCCUCUGAGGCGGCAUGGCGACCACAGGCCCUGAUCGCAGAGGACCAUAGGGGAGAGAGGGAGAAGCUGCAGCAGCAGAAGCAGCUAUGGGAAGACACCUCCAUCUCCUGGCUGAGAGAGGCCGAUGCGGCUCCUAGACAGUUAAGGGUAGUGACUGGGGUGACUGGGGUGACUGGGGAGCGGAAGUGCCAGAGCCUGGGCACAGAGGAGUGGAAGCCUGCAGUGGGGCUGGGGAGGCAGCUGUCGGAUGGGGAGGGCGAGAGGUGGGCUCAGGAGCAGCAGCACCGCCUGAGGACUCAAGAGAGCACUGGUUCUAUCCUCCCCAGAACCAGAAGGAUGUCCCAGUCCCUCCCCAGAGUGUUGUCACCUGCUGGAGCUACUGAACACGCAAACACACUGUCCAGUUUGGUCAGUUUCCAGCUUCGACCAGGCCAGGUUGAUAGACAGAGAGUGAACAGCACCGUAUUUUCCGGGCCUUAUAGUCGGUAUUACCACAGUGCCGCAGUCAGCAGGGACCGGUGGGCCAGGAACAGUUGGCAAAGCGUUGGACAUGUUGCACUUUUACCAAAGCCCAGGUUCAGCAGGCCUGUCAAGCCUCCAUCAUACGAAAUACACCAGCAGACUAGGGGUAGCCAGGAGAUGCUCGCUGUAGCUGUAAUAGAUCAGCAGGGAGGGUCCAAACAACCGAAAGACAACAGGCCUGUCUAUUAUCCACGGGGUGGAGAAUUGCAAAGACAAGACUAUUUUGCACAACACUCUGCUAUCUUUGGCAUGGAGCCCCCUGGUUAUAUCCCGCCCCCGUCUUAUAAGAGAGCCCUGCCCCCAAUCAGGGGAGGACCAAUCAACCGCAACGAAGUGGCAAACUAUAAGUGGAGGGGGGAGAUGAAGAUACAGAUGCACAUGCCUAUGAGCUCAGAGGCGGGAAAGUGGUUCUCCGGACAGACAGGAGGGUCGUGGCUGGAACACUACGGGGAUCGGGGUAUACCCUACAGGAAACAGAUUAACGCUACCCAAAACCUUAACCCUGGAUACACCGAGGAGCAUCUGGGUCAUGUUCACUAUUUACCCUUUGAUAAUCCGCGAGUGAGACAUAUCUCAGGAGGGCCUGGCGGAAAUUCUCUUACUGACACUGACAAGUUUAUCCGAAACAUGAAGAAAGAGACUCCCUGCGCUAAGGUUUUAGGACAAUCUACACACGAUAGUGCCUUUCCCCCCCCACAGGGGCUCUCUCUCAAUAACGACUGCCGCAAGACAUCUCUCAAUGACAACGACGGUGGUAGUAGUACUAGAUGGUGCAACAGGGGUUUAAUAAACAAAGGAAGUGUAGACAGUGUAGCUCCUGAUCAGAGCUGUGGUAUCUAUCCAACAGCUUUUCACAUUAGACCUGCUCAGCAACUGAUCAGGCAUGUGGACCAAGGUCAAGGUGUGUCAGAAACUGUAACUCAAGUGAAAACGUCAGUCAAUGAGCCUGACUCCACAGAGAAAGAGAAACCAAGAAAAACGGACUCAGAGAAAACAGAAAAAAAUGAGAAAAAGAGUGUAAAACAAAAACUUAGUGAGACAAUAUUCUGUUUGGUGUCUGUUCCCGUCCCUCUAACGCCGGGUGGUACGUCCAGUGAUCAAAACAACAACAAUGACGACGAGAAGCCACCAAGCCCAGUCCGGCCACCAAGCCCAGUGGACAGUCCGAGUGAGAACAAAACGGGCCACUUAACAAACCAAAGUUUCCAAAGCACAUCUUCAGCAGAGGCUGAGCUGCAAGCACUAACCGGUAGCAUAGCGAGCAGCAGAUCAAGCAGCAAAAUAGUGAGAAAACUCCCUAUUAAACCCCCCAAAAUAAACCAUCACAAGGAGCUGAAACUCUCAGGUGCCUGGCCUGGGAACCAAUACCGGGACCAGGAGACCCAAACUAGCCCAGAAGCCCGAAAGCCUCAGCAUCCCCCUCCUCCAGGCACUGAAAACAAGGAAGCACAAGACCCUCACGUCCCUGCCCCAGGCUCCUCUGACGUCAUCACCCAAGAUCCAAGCGGUGUGGGCAAUACUGCAUUCAGCUGUCCUAUAAAAGGGGUGAAGAGCCUGAAACCAUCCAGCAACAGCGCCUUUUCCAGGACGGCCACUUUCUCCAUUUCCAGCCAGCUGAUCAAGAGCACAGCUCAGCCGCCAGCAGCGCCACCACCACCACCACCACCACCCUCAGGAAACACGAUGGAGGCCAAACCAGCAGCGACCUGCAGUGGGCAGGAAGCCUUCGGUCAGUUCCUGCUCAAGCCCGUCAGCAGGCGGCCAUGGGACGCCAUCGAGGAGCUGGAGACUAUCAACAAAGAGUUCCAGGAUCAGCAGCAGAAGCAGCAGCAGAGCAGCAAGAGACCCAGUGUUGACCAGUGCAUUGAGGACCUCAACGAGGCCUACAAAGACAUCCUAGAGCUAGGCACUGCCAGCAAUAACAUUUCCAACAAUAGUGGUGCUGUGCAGAUCCCUGAGCGGAUCAAGAUAAGGCUGACGGGGGAGGCGGGGCUCAGCAAGCCCAGCAGCCUUAGGCGCAGUAUCGAGAGCUGGUCUGUGUCCGUCGACCCGGAGUACGGGGAGGUUAAGAGUGCUUUUUCCAGACCUGCUGAAAGAAAAUCUGUGACUUUCAGCAAGCAGCUAAGAGAGGAGCUCCCUGUCCCACCACGCAAGCCUACAGGAUUCAGAGAAUACAGGGUUGUUUCGAACUUGUCGCAGAGGAGAAGUAGCUGCAGUGGCAGGACAGUGAAGCUAGACCUCCCUUCGCCUUCGGAGACACCACCGCCUUGUCACUUCACCGGCCCUAGUGACUUUACUGACUCUUCUAGUGAUCCCAGCAAGACCAGAGACUUCAGUCCAAUGACUCCAACAACGCACACUGCAGCCGAAGUCCCCUGGGCAGAUAGGCAGCCGAUGCAGGACGCCUCCACACUUACGAGUCCCCCUGACUAUGAGGACAUAUGUCAGUCUUUACAAAAGACCAGAGACUCAGAGGUUAACAAAACGUUCACCGCCAUAUCUAAACCUGGUGGUGGUAGCUGCGAUACAGAGCCUCUAGGGGGAGCCUGUUUAGACUCUGCAGAGGAAUGCCCCAUUUGUAAAAGAGAGAGCGAGAGCCAGAUGUCCAGACCAAGUCCAAUGUCUCCGCUCCACGAGGAGUCAAACCCAGACUUAUCCGAUCAAAGUAGCUCGACGAUUGUUGGCGACCGUGACAGUCCACAAGGAGCUGAAACGUCUGAAGAACCAGCUGAAGGCGAAGGAGACACAAAGGUAUCCUCUGACUCUGGCUCAAAUCAUUCAGAGGCUCAGACUAUAUGUUGCGAUUGGAGGAAGCAGCUGUCACUCAUAGAUAAGAAAGUGGAGGGGAGUGUCACUGCUGAGAAGACCAAACAAAACCAAGCUCUGGCAGUGGCAGAGGACAUUGGCAAUCUAUACAAACGUAAAUGUGCUGAGGGCAUUCCAGAGAAUGAAUCCAUAGAGGAGAGGGCAGCCAGGAUAUUAGGGAUUGAUGUACCUGCAGAGUCUUUAGUCACAGGGGAGCAGCGGGUUAGCGAGACGACAACAGAGAGUAAACCCGCUGCUAGUGAAGAUACAGAAAGCAGCAGGGCAAACGAACAGACAGUACAAACAGAUGUGAGAGAUCCAGAUUCUGAGGAACUGGACUCUGGAACGGUAUCUAGAGUGCCUCCUGACAGGCAGGAGGCAAAAGAAAAGGAGACACCACAGAAUAACCCAGAGUACAUCAGGAGUGCCAAAUGGACCCAUCUGGGUCGAGAAACUCCAGGUAUGCAGGAGUUUCCGCCAGACAGACUACCGCUUUCGGUCCCCAUUAACCCUGACCUUAAGCUGUCCCACAGCCUGGAGGGAGAGAUGAGGGGCAGAGGACCCUUGCAGCGCGUAGACACCCUGCAGGAUAAGCUGGCUGCAUCGCCCAGCCACCGGGUGGCGGUAGAGCGCCGGGCACGGAUGAAGGAAGUGGACCCAGUGUCACGCAUGAGACGCCUCAGCAUCAGGAGCACAGACUCUGGGGAGGAGGGGGCAGAGACGGAGGGGGAGACCAAGCGUGGCGGUGGGCAAGUGGAAGUGCUCUCCUUACCUGCUUCCUCCCAGAGUGAUACGGUAGACGAUAGAGAGGCCUCUGAGGACACAGUGUUGCAAGAUGAGGUGUCAUCCCUCUCAGGCUUUGGAACUGAGGCUCCAGUCAAACUCUGCACUUCAACCCCAUUGCCAACAGAAACUCUAAGCUUUCAGAACGACUUUUCCUUCGGGGACAAGACCGAGCUGGCCAAGAGUGCCACUGAUAUCGAUGCCAAUCUUCUGUCAGUCCUACCCAAGGUUUCAGAAUUAAAGAAACAUUUUGAAAGCGUUGUCUCGAGUGAUUUAGAAAUGAACAGCAGGAAGGAAAGGAUAGCCAGGCGCCUGGAGGGUAUCAAGAGUGAGGCUCCUCUUGCCCUGAUACCUAGCUGUGCCGGCCUGGUGGCCAACCGCAUGCUGGAGGAGGACCCGCCACGAUACACCCGGGCCUCAGACCCCUGUGAGCCAAUCAUGGUGAGACGUUACAGCAGAGAGCAGGUGGAGGCCCCACAGAUGCCGGUGUCCUCCCCAGACAGACAGUCUAGGACCCGGGGCAGACCGGGGGACCAUCCUGGACCGGCUGCCCACCCCCAUGCAGAGCCUGUCCUAUCCCCUUCCGGUGGCCCAGUGGACCCAGCCAGCCUCAGUUCCAAGGCCGAGCGGAUCGCCCGCUACAAAGCAGAGCGCCGGCGCCAGCUCUCUGAGCGUUACGGCAUCCUGUUGGAUCAGGAGAUAGACAUGGACUACAGUCCUCGCUACUCGUGCUCACGUCGAGAGUCUGAUGCCUUGGAUAGAGUGGCCCCAGCAGUCACAGAGCGUAGGAGAGACAGAGAUAGAGAAAGACAGGAGGUGGAGGAAGGAGGAGGAGGGCGGGAGAGUUCCCGCAGAACUCCCUACAGCUCUGGAGUGGGCAGGAUCUACAUGCAGGCUCACCCUGCUGAGCCUUCUCCUGGCCACGCUCCUGCCCCAGGUCACAGUCCAGCCCAUGCAGGCCCUACCCAUACUCAAGCCCCUCUGCCAGCCCGGGAGAGGGCCGGCACCUUCUCAGAGCGGGAGAGGAUGAUGAACCUGGAGAACUACCGGCGGGCCCAGGAGAGGACAAUGCCAGGGGGCCACAGAGUAGCCAGUAACAGGCCCCAUGAUCAUGACCAGGCCCCCUCCAUCCAGCAGCUCAGCCCUCCUCUAUCCAGGGCCUCCUCCAGAGAAUCCUGCAGUGUGGCGGCCAUCCCCAGCUCCCCUCGUACGGCCCGCCGGGCCUCCCUGCCCUCCACACGCUACGGCAUCUCCCCCGGGGACCUGUUCAUCGAGCAGCAAGCUCAGGCCAUCCUCAGCAGACAGGGCCUGGCAGUGUUGUCUCAGAGCGACUGGUCUCUCCAGACAGACUCAGAAGAUGAUGCUGCUGGCACUCAGUCUGUCAUCAGUUGGCCUUCCAGAAUCAGAGUAAGAGAGAGAGUAUCGAAAGACGACAGCGGCGUCCAAAGGGCCCCUGCAGAGCGGGGUCCAGCUCCAGAGCCCCCAGUGAAGAGACACCGAGAUCGUGCUCACACCACCACAGCUCACUACAUGCCCCAACGUGGCCACAGCUCUGACCCUGCCACCUACAAAAGGACUGGCCCCUCGUCUCAGCCCUCCCAACCUGCUUUCGCCCACGUCCCAUACCCCCACGCCUCAGCACCACGAACACACACAUCAGGCCCCACCAUGGGCCACCAGGGUACCCAUCAGGGGAGUCACCAGGGGACCCACAUGGACCCUCAGCCUUACCUAGCCAUGCCGGCCCCUGUGGCCACCAAGCUCCCUGGAGCCCCUGUGGUGGAGGUGGAUACUCCAAGGAGGAGGGUGAGCACUGACCACAUCUACACGACCCAGAGGGAGACCCACAGGGAGGGCAGGCAGGCGCUGAGAGAGGAGGUUCACACCGAGGGGCUGCUGAAGAGCCGGAAGGCCGUGCUGCCCUCAGAGAUCCGCCGCAGGGAGAAGAGUGUGGACGACCCCCAGAGAGGGGAGCCCCACCUGGGGCCAGUCAGCCGCCAGGACGACUCCACCACCUCAACCGCCAUGGAGUAUGAGAGCUAUAGGUCUGGGGGGAGGAGAACGAGUCGGGCGGACUCUGAGGAGUGGGAGACUAGGCCCAGGGAGCAGCAGCAGCACUGGUCCAGCCACAGCCAGGACACAAAGGAGACAGGUCCAGUCAGUCGCAUGGAGACCUCCCACUCCCAGCCCAGCCAGCAGCAACAGGCUCCUGAGCCUCUCCAGCAGCAUCCGCACCCCCAGAGUCAGCAGGACCUCCAGGGUCAACACGGCCUGCAGGACCAGCAGCAGGGUGACUCUGCCGUCUACCUCCAGAGGGGUGCCUACCUCCCUCAGGCCAGACACAGGAGCAUGGAGCCAGCCGGGCAGGCUGGGCCCCCCAAGCUCAAGGUCCGCACUCGCUCCAUGUCCGACAUCGGCGUAAGUCAGCGCUCGGCUGCCUAUAGGAGCAUGGAGAGGGCAGCCGCCAGCAGAGAGGCUACCAUGGCAGCCCACCUGACCAGGGCGGGAGGGGUGGCAGUGGGGGUACUGCCCAAUGGGGAGGUGGGGACCUUGGAUACCAGGGUCUCCGUGGCCCAGCUCCGACACUCAUAUCUGGAGAACGCCAACAGGAAGCCGGAGCUGGAGCCAACUAAAGUAGAGCUUACUGCCAUGGAAGUAGAUCCGGCUGCUGGGAGCGCUGAUCGGGAGCGUGGCACAGCGCGGAGGCCGCGGCGCUACAUCACCCCUGGAGACAUCCGCAAGUCCUCUGAGAGAUUUAGGACGCAGCCCAUUACCACUGCAGAGCGGCUAGAGUCUGAUAGGUCUCGUCUGAGUCCAACCGAGCUACAGAACCCAGAAGCUGACGAAGAGAAGCUUGAUGAGAGAGCUAAGAUGAGUGUGGCUGCUAAGAGGUCACUAUUUAGGGAGCUGGAGAAGACCACAGAUAGCGUCCCCAAACCGCGGUCCCGUAACCCUGCCGUGGAGAGGCGCCUGAGACGAGUCCAGGACCGUGCGCGCACACAGCCUAUCACCAAUGAGGAAGUGGACAUCGCUCACACUGCCUCUGCUCUGUCCUCGCAAUCGGUGACGGUCCACACCACAGUAGCACGUAUCCCCAGCCCCACUGUAGUCAGCACCACCAUGACCAGUUACAGCCUGCAGGAGGCAUCGCAGCACGGCUCUAUGGUGCGGAGCAUUGGAGAGCAGGACGGGGAGAAAGAAAGGGAGAGGGAGGCCCAGCCCAAAGGAGAUGGAGCAGGGCCUGGGCCUGACAAGAUAAUGGAGGACCUGGGUCCAGAUGAGCCCGACCUUUCAACUCUCAGCCUUGCAGAGAAGAUGGCCCUGUUCAACCAGCUGUCCAAGCAGCCCUCAAAGCCUGCUGCAGAGGGGGCCGGGGCCUCCAGGGGCGACACUCGUCAGCGCAGAGCCAACAGCCGCUUCCAGACCCAGCCUAUUACCCAGGGAGAGGUGGAUCAGGAGAUAGAUCCUAUGGUUGCCUCUCUUCCUCCUCCACCUCCUCCUCCGUUGACUAAGAGAGAACAACUGCAGAACGGAGGAGGAGGGGUCAAGCUGGAGCCACUGUCUGCCUCUUUGGUCCGCUCCGUGGCAGCCGUCACCUCCCAGGUCUCUGUCGCCACGGUAACCACGGCGACUUCCAGCAGCAGCAACGUCCACCUUGGAAAAUCUACGGCCGUUCCCUACAACCCCCCCACCACCGCCACCACCACCCAGGAAAGGGGAGGGGUGAGGUACUUCAGCCUGACCAAGGGCGGUGACUCCUCCGGUUUCCCUGAACCAGAUCUGUUCUCCCCUGGCCCUCCCCUUUCAGAGCAGCAACCGCAGCAGCAGGCUCACAGUAGAGGAGCCGGAGAGAGAGGAGGAGACAGUGGCGGAGCUCCUGGAGCCAGUCGCUCCUCCACUGGCCACAGAGAGAGAGAGGAGGAGGAGGAGGAUGUGUGGGAAGGAGGGGCCAGCAGAGAGGAGAGGGAGAGCUGUGCUAGUAGUGGUGCUGGAGGCAGCAGCAGUAAGGGAAGGCUCCACUCCCCCGACAGGGACAGCAGACAGCAGCACUAUCAGCCCCCAGCCCCAGAGCCCCAGCCGCGGCACACCAACAGUAGCCAGCGGGAGUCCAUCGAGCUUCCCUCUUUGAGGCACGGGAGGGGUGAGUUGCUGGUGGAGCCCAGGCAGCACAGAGACAGAGAUAAAUACGGCAGUAGCAGCAGCAUCACCCUGGAGAGGGAAGAGCACGGGAGCUACCUGGGAGAGACACACAGCUCAGAGAGACACACAGAGCUGCAGCACACAGCAGACAGAGAGAGCACACGGAGCAGCAGGAGCAGGGAACUCCUCUCAGACACCGAGCACACCAGUGUGUCAUUGAGAACUGUGACAACAGAGGCAGCGGCCAGGAGUGUCUCAACCUCCAGUAACCAGCGGAAACAGCAGCAGAUCCAGUCUUUCACCCAGUCUCCCCCACAAACUGAGCCCCAGCCAUACUUCAAACCUCACCAGCACUUCACCCAGUCUCCCCCACAAACUGAGCCCCAGCCAUACUCCAAACCUCACCAGCACUUCACCCAGGAACCUCCAGCCCAGUCCCAGCCCAAGCCCCAGGAAAGGGAGAGGAGCUUCACCCAGGAACCUCCAGCCCAAUCCCAGCCCAAGCCCCAGGAAAGGGAGAGGAGCUUCACCCAGCCACUACCCAAGCCUUACUCUCAGCUAAUCCCUCACACUCAAUCCAGACCCCAGUCCUUAUCCCAGCCUCCUCCUCCCCAGACCGCCCCCCAGACUCUGCCCAAGCCCACGUCCUUCCCUCAGCCGCUGGUCAAGUCUCAGUCCCUGCCUCUGGACCACAGUGGCCACAUCACAGGACACAGUGUCUCCGACCUCCUCUCCCCCAGCGAAACAGAACUCUCAGAGAUGUCCUCCAAACAGAUGUCCAUCAAAGAAAGGCUGGCCCUGCUAAAGAAGAGUGGUGAAGAGGACUGGAGGAACAGGAUCAAUAAGAAGCAGGAAGUGGUAAAGGUGGCUGUGACUGAGAGACACUCCACAGUACAAGGACAGGGAUGGGAGGCAGAGCAGACCUACAAGAAGAAGGAGGAAGGGAUGGUUAUUGAUGAGUUCGCUGCUGUCACUGUGUCUGACCAGCUGUGGGGGAAAAUACACUGUGAACCAGAUAGAAGUUUGACUGGGGAACGCCGGCUCAGCCUGCUGCAGCCAUGGAAACAUCAUCAUGACUUCAGACUUGAUUUAUCCAAAAUAAUCUCUGAGCCUGUCUUUUCCUCCACAUAUUUUCCUCCAAUCUCCCUUGGCCAUAAGUGCCAAGUUAUUGACCUUCAUAGUCAGAGGAUGGGAGAGGAGAUGGAGAACCAGGCUCAGAUGUCCAUAGAGGAGAGGAAGCAGAUGAUCUCAACACGGGAGGAGUCCUGGGUGUCUAAAGGCAAGGGGGUGGCCAACGACUCCACCCAGUACACUGUGGCUGCACGCAUGGUCAAGAAAGGUCUGGCAGCCUCCUCAGCCAUCAGCCCCAUCCUGUCUCCUGUCUCCACCAAACUCAAGAGCAACGUGCCUGUCAUCAAACCGCAGGAGGAAACUGAAGCCAGACCAGAGAUGAACUUGGAGUCGGAUAAAAAGCUGGAUAAAUUGGAGACAUUUUUGGGACGUCUGAACAGUAAAGUGGCAGGUCUUCAGAAGACCACUCUGACCGUGACAGAGAAGGCUGUGAAGGAGGUGAUGAGGAUGGACGAUGAGAUCUUCUCCAAGUUCUACCGUCCCGUGUCUGACUUCCCACGCAUGCCCAGCAGGAUCGAGAUCGACGAAGACUUUGAUGCCAUCUUCGGCACUCAGGCGCCCAAGUUGACCUCAGCCAUAGCGCAGCACAAACGAGCAGUGAGACCGUCUAGGAACGUCCAGUCGUCUAAGAACCCUCUGAAGAUGCUGGCGGCCAGGGAGGACAUCAGACACGAGUACACUGAGCAGAGACUCAACAUCGGCCUCAUAGAGAGCAAGAGGAUCAAGGAUGAGAAGAGUGAGUUGAAUAAGACUUCGGAGUACUCGGACGCGGCCCUAGCUGGACUGGCCAGUAAGGAGAACUUCAGCAAUGUGAGUCUGAGGAGCGUCAACAUCUCAGAGCAGAUGUCCAACAACAGCGCUGUGCCGUACAAGAAUGUCAUGCUGAUGCAGGUCAAAGGCCGCCGCCACGUCCAGACCAGACUAGUGGAGCCCAGAGCCUCGACCCUGAACAGUGGCGACUGCUUCCUCCUGGUUACUCCUCAACACUGCUUUGUUUGGAUGGGAGAGUUUGCUAAUGUCAUCGAGAAAGCCAAAGCUUCUGAGCUGGCAUUGUUCAUCCAGACUAAGAAGGAUCUGGGCUGCAGAGCGAGCCAGAUCCAGACCAUCGAGGAGGGGGUCAACCCCCAGAGCCCUGCGGCCACAGAGUUCUGGAAGAUCCUGAGAGGAGAGCAAACCUACCAGUCUGCCGGGCCACCGGAGGAGGAUGAGCUGUUUGAGAGUGCCAUAGUGGAGACAAACUGCAUCUUCCGUCUGCUGGACGACAAGCUGGUUCCUGAUGACGACCAGUGGGGGAAGGUUCCUCACAGCACACUGCUGGAGUCCAAAGAGGUGUUGGUGUUUGACUUUGGCAGUGAGGUGUAUGUGUGGCACGGUAAGGAGGUGACUUUGGCCCAGAGGAAAGUAGCCUUCCAGCUGGCUAAACACCUGUGGAAUGGAACCUUUGACUACACCUGCUGUGACAUCAACCCUCUAGACCCUGGAGGAUGCAAUACACUCAUACCCAGGAAGGGCCAGGGGCGUCCUGACUGGGCCAUAUUCGGCAGGCUGACCGAGCACAAUGAGACUACCCUGUUCAAAGAGAAGUUCCUGGACUGGGCAGACACUAAGAAACCACAACCAAAGAACACCAAUGAGCAAGUCAGUGAGCAGAAGGAGACGCCGGGGCGGGAGUGCAGGCCGUAUGAUGCAGCAUUGAUGCUGCCUGUACUCCAGACAGCAGUCAGCACUGUGCUGGAUGGGAUGAACGUGGGCCGAGGCCACGGCUCUAUAGAAGGAGAGGACAGGAUGAGGACUCUAGAGAUCAGCACGGUGUCGGUGGAUGUCUGGCACAUCCUGGAGUUUGACUACAGCCGGCUACCCAAGCAGAGUAUAGGCCAGUUCCAUGAGGGGGACGCGUACGUUGUGAAGUGGAAGUACAUGGUGAGCGCAGCAGUUGGGAGGAGGCAGAACCCGGAGCUGAGGAGCGCGGGCCCUGGCAAAGAAAAGUGUUGCUACUUCUUCUGGCAGGGACGGAACUCCACCGUGAGCGAGAAAGGAACGUCGGCACUGAUGACAGUGGAGCUGGAUGAGGAGAGAGGGGCACAGGUCCAGGUACAGCAGGGGAAGGAGCUCCCUUGUUUCCUCCAGUGUUUCAACGGGGGGAUGAUCAUACACUGUGGGAAGAGAGAGGAGGAAGAGGAGAACACACAGACUGAGUGGCGUCUGUACUGCGUGCGAGGGGAUGUCCCUGUAGAGGGCCACCUCCUGGAGGUAGUGUGUCACUGCAGCAGCCUGCGCUCCAGGAGCUCCAUGAUCCUCCUGAAUGUCAACAAGGCCCUCAUUUACCUGUGGCACGGCUGCAAGGCCCAGCAACGCACUCGCCUGGUGGGCCUCACCACCGCACAGAGGGUCAAAGAACAAUGUCCGUUGGAGGCGGGGCUCCAUAGCAGCAGUAAGGUGACCAUCACCGAGUGUGACGAGGGAUCAGAGCCCACUGGAUUCUGGGAUGCGGUCGGUAGGAAAGACAGGAAGGCCUACGACUGUAUGUUGCAAGAUCCGGGUAAAUUUAACUUCACCCCUCGGCUGUUCCAGCUGAGCAGUUCUUCAGGGGAGUUUGUAGCCACAGAGUUCUACCAUCCCUCCAGAGUUCCAGACUUGGUCAGCUCUCUGCCCUUCCUUCAGGAGGACCUGUACCAAGCCUCCCAGCCUGCGUUGUUCCUGGUGGAUAACUUCCAUGAGGUGUACCUGUGGCAGGGCUGGUGGCCCCAGGACAGCGAGAGCCCCGGCUCCGCCAGGAUACGAUGGGACAUGGACAGGAAGUGCGCCAUGGAAACGGUGCUGCGGUACUGCAGAGAGAAGAAUGAGAAGAAGCCUCAGAAGUCGUACCUGAUCCAUGCUGGUCUGGAGCCUCUCACAUUUACCAACAUGUUUCCCAGCUGGGAGCACAGAGAGGACAUCGCAGAGAUCACUGAGAGGGAGGCGGAGGUGUGUAACCAGAUCAUCCUGGUGGAAGAUGUGCUGGCCAGGCUGUGCCAGAACACCUAUCCCCUGGCUGAGCUGCUGGCACGUCCCCUACCUGGGGGUGUCGACCCCCUCCGCCUGGAGAUCUACCUAUCAGACCAGGACUUUGAAGUGAGUUUAAGUUCAAUGUUUUUUUAUUUGUCUAACUGCAAACCCUCUCUGAAAUAGUUGAUAUUAACAGAUUAAAGGAGUCCAGCUGCAGUUUGUAUUAAAUACACAAUGUGGUGAGACCACCCCUCUCACCAUUCAGCACCAACACACCCUGUGAGAAAAGUCAACCUUGAUUUAAGACUAAAUGGGUUGGUUUCCCAGACAAAGGUAUAGUCCCAGACUAAAAAACUCAUCUUAAUUGGGAAAGCUUUUUGUCCAGGACUAGGCUAAAUCUUUGUCUGGGAAAUAUUUCUGAAAUGUUGUUUUGUUGAAAUCAAUGCAUUGUAAUCAUAUUGAUAUCUGAUGCAUGCAGUAUGUCCAUGUUAAACAUAAACCAGUGUGUGUGUGUGUGUGUGUGUGUGUGUGUGUGUGUGUGUGUGUGUGUGUGUGUGUGUGUGCGUUCGUGUGGAGGUGUGUGUGAUCCCCGCUGUGUGAUGGAUGAAAAGGUCAAAGGGAUUUCCACAGAUAAGAAGCUCAACACAAAAGCAGAACAUAUGAGAAGCAGCACCUUGCUUCCUAGCUGCGGCUUGGAAUAAGAGCUGUAUCUGGCCUCAAGUAGUGAACCAUAUAGGGACUAGGAUGCCAUUGGCCCAGUCAGUCACCCUCCAUUUCACACAUUACCUCAAUCUGGGUGCACUCCUCUUCCCUCCCACCAUUCAAGAAGAGAGAGGCCCUCUCCAUUUGUGUUUAUCUCUAUUUACAGAAUUCAACACACACACACACACACACACACACACACACACACACACACACACACACACACACACACACACACACACACACACACACACACACACACACACGAACAAACUGGAGGAGGACAGAGUGGUUGCAGUGUCGGAGCUCACUCUGUGUACUCAGGAAAUGAGUUCUCGCUCUCCUUGGGCGUCAACUCCCCUCCUCAAAUAGUGUGACCAUGGUGACAAUGAGGACAGAGGGCCCGGAGAGAUGCUUGGUCUUUGGUCUGUAGCAUGCCAAUGGCACAGAUAGCAAGCAUUUCAGAGUGGUGAUCUAGGAUCAGUUUAGCCUUUUAGAUCACAAUGAAUAAGAUUACAUGGACAGAGAUCCUAGAUCAGCACUCCUACCCUGAGAUGGUUGAUACCUACUGAUGUAAUUUGUGAUUACGUUACCGUCAUUACUUUCAUGUCUAAUAGCGCUGUAAUAAACUCUUUAGUCCAGGCUAACUUCUCCUUUCACCUUUCAGGCUGGGUUCUAGGGGAUUCAGGUAAGAAAGCAUUGGACAUGAAGAGAGAGGAGUACGAAGGAUUACCAGGGUGGAAGCAAGUGAACUUAAAGAAAGCCAAAGGACUGUUUUAGUGUAAAGCUAAGCUGAUGAGGAGUGUGGAGAGAAAUUAAAUUCAGCAAGUCUUGGACGACAGUGGAAGUUGAUAAAAAUGCUGCUUUAUUGUUUUAACCAACGUGUUUUUGGCUCCUAGCCUUCAUCAGGUUGGUUGUGGAGAGAGAGAGAGAGGACACAGAGACUGUUGACAUGGAGGCCACCAAGCUGUCCCCCUCAGCACUUCCUUCCGAGCGGUGUGACUGAAACCCAGUAGUGGCUGGUGGUACUUUAAAAUCAGUGGCUCAUAAUUUCAAUUGAAUGGAAUCAUUGGAAAGGUUUCCAAGUGUUUGUUACAAUUCCAGUCAUUAUUAUGAGAUAUUCACCCCUCACCCAUUUCCUCUGCUGAACACACUCUCAGGGGCAGCUUCUUUGAGUGGGUCACAGGGGAGGUGGGGGGGCUGGGGUAGAGGAUCUGCGGAGGUGUGCUAGCGUCAUGUAGCAUAUUAUUUUUACCUUUUCAGUUAUGUAACUAUGUAGGAAAAUGAAAAUUAUGCUAAGCACAUUGUAUGCGAGUGGCUUUAUAUCAGGUACUGUACAACGCAGGACCUGCACUCACUCUCUCUUUCUGCUUCAAACUGUACUACAAGUCUCCACUUAUUAUGACACCGCUCAUGCCAUAUGAAGAGGAAAUUCAGCAACUCUUCGAGGACAGUGGAAGUUGAUAAAAAGGCUGGUUUAUUGUUGAAAUUGGUUGGUAGCCUUCAUCAGGGUUUAACAGAUAAAAGAACAAUGGAGGGCAGGGUUUCAUACCAUGGACAUACACACUGAUGUGGUCUCUGGGUGUGAUGUUUUAACUGUUGUGUGUGUUUGUGAAGUAUUUAGAAGAAUUUGUAUUUAUGUAAAACAAAAAAAAAGUCUGGUAGAAGGACAAUGUAUUCAACUUGAAAGUACUGUGUAAUAUCUGUCAGUAGGAGUGGGUUUUUGUUUCUUGUCAAAAGGUGUAAACAUGUCAAGUAUGUACCUUUUUUGUUUUGCGUUCUCAAAUACGGUACCUGCCUGGGGCUGUCAUAAUGACAUCUAACCUUUACAGGUACCUGAGAAAUGACAAACAGUUGUAUUUUUAAAGGCAUGGAAUUCUUUGUGAAAAACACUUGAAUGUUGAAUGUAUAGUGCCUUGCUUUUGUGUACAGUUUAUAUACAGAAAUUCUAGUCUGCAUUUCGAAGACUUUCUUUGUGAUAAAAUAAAUAGUAAAUAAACAACAAAUCCCCAAAUCUAAGAUUGAUUGUUAGUUUGUAUUCAUUUGAGUGAAUCUCAAUUGUAUUUUCUUGAAUACACACAUUCUCCCUCCACUUUUUCAAAAUCACAUUUGAGUAGAAGAUCUGUGGUUCCUCCGCUCUGACCUUUUCCUGAAAACACAUUGGAGGAUGAGACGAAGAGAGGACGCAAGGAAUCUAGGGGAGAUUCUCAAUUGGGGAAACAGUCGGUCCUCUCCUCGACUCUUCCGUCGUCCUCUCCUCUGUGACCCGGAAACCGAUGUGGUCGAGUGGUAGGGGAGAGUGUCAAUUCGUUAGUAGGUGAACAGGAGAGUAUUCUUCCCUCCUCUAUUAACUAGUUCAGCAGAGGAUGCACAAAAUAAUCCUACUAGGACCUAAGCGCAGAAGUGAAGUCAAAUCCACCACAUCCCCUUUGAAUCAGCUGUUUUUUCUCAGAAGAGGAAAGCAUGCACACAUUUAAAAACAUUUUUUUUAUAUAAAAUGUCUCGCACAACAAGCUAACACGUUACACUUUUAUUUUGGGAUUCCAACCCUGUAAACAUAAUUUGCCUGAUGAUAUGCGAGAGUCUCAUUUUUCUGUUUCCAUGUUCCCUCUCCUCGCCACCUCUGGAGCAAAACCAACAGAUUCUCCCUAGGAAAUACAAUUGAGAUUCACUCUAAAACUUGCUUGACUUUGUAGCGGUUUGUCUUAUGCUCAGCAGAUGGUGCUCUUUGUCCUAACAUCCCUUAAAGUCCCAUGCAGUCUUAUUUUUAAAUGAUCUCCGUAUGUCUAAUAAAUCCCUGUGUAUGUUUCUUUUAUGAAAAUAACUACAAAUAUAUUUUUUAUAAUUUAUUUCCCCGAGCCUCCUUUUGCCAUUGAAAUAAAUGCACAGCCUGAUCGUGUGGGCGUGUUGAUAGAAUUGAAAUAUAUGUACAUACACAGCCCUGAUUGACGAAUAAGAUCGUCUAGUAUAGAGCCUACCCUGCUUACCCCUUCAAAGUAGGAGGUUACAUGUGCAAAUAAAAGAUGACUGGUCAGAAUA